rnacentral:pre_miRNA from 1 species
CAAAUACUCCCUCCGUCCGGAAAUAGUUGUUAUCAAAAUGAAUAAAAGGAAAUGUAUCUAGACGUAUUUUAGUUUUAGAUACAUCUCUUUUUAUCCAUUUUGAUGACAAGUAUUUUCGGACGGAGGGAGUAGAAA